CAGCAGCCACGGGAAAACGGAGGGUGCAAGCGUUAUCCGGAUUUAUUGGGUUUAAAGGGUCCGUAGGCGGACUUAUAAGUCAGUGGUGAAAGCCUGUCGCUUAACGAUAGAACUGCCAUUGAUACUGUAAGUCUUGAGUAUAUUUGAGGUAGCUGGAAUAAGUAGUGUAGCGGUGAAAUGCAUAGAUAUUACUUAGAACACCAAUUGCGAAGGCAGGUUACCAAGAUAUAACUGACGCUGAGGGACGAAAGCGUGGGUAGCGAACAGGAUUAGAUACCCCCGUAGUCCCUGUCUCUUAUAC
rnacentral:rRNA from 1 species